UCUGUUGGUUAAGCCGCUGCCAUUAGCUCAGGUCAUGAUCCCAGGGUCCUGGGAUCAAGUCCCGAAUUGGGCUCCUUGCUCAGCAGGGAGCCUGCCUCGCUCUCUGCCUCUGCCUGCUGCUCUGCCUGCUUGCGUCCCUCCAAAGUAGUUUUUAAAUGUUAAAGUUGACUUACAGGAUCCUAAGAGUCAGGCUAAGAUUGAUUUUUGCCCUUAGCAAACUAUUAACAUCAAGGCAGCUGAGGACAUUCCUAGAGGAAUGUCACUCUGCCUAUUUCCAGAUUUUGUCAGUGGACUGUUACGUAGUAAGGUAAUUUAAUUUUUCUUUUGCCUUUUUUUCUCACAUCAUUAGGAACAGUUGUUUUGUACUUCACGUUAGUGAGAAACCAUUUUCUUUAUGGUUGAACCAUUACACACUUCAAGAUUUAUUGUUACAGCAACUAUUGUUGCUGAUUUUUUCAAAUCCCUUUUAGUUGAACACAUCAGAAAAGUAAAUAAAACACACAUCCAUAUAGAAAAGUAAAUGCAGGAGCACCUGGGUGGCUCAGUGGGUUAAAACCUCUGCCUUCAGCUCGGGUCAUGAUCGCAGGGACCUGGGAUAGAGCCCCCGGCUCUCUGCUCAGCAGGGAGCCUGAUUCCUCCUCUCUGCCUGCCUCUGCCUGCUUGUGAUCUCUGUCUGUCAAAUAAAUAAAUAAUCUUUAAAAAAAUUUAAAAAAAAAGUAAAUGCAACAAAAAUGUUUGGCCCAUGAUUUAUCAUAGGCCAGCACCCAUUAUAACUACCAUCCAAAUUGAGAAAGCCUCAGCACCCGAAAGCCUUUUUAUGCUUUUAUGCUAUGAGAGUCAGUAUGGUGGUUAACUUUAUAUGGUUGAGAGAAGAAAGUGGUUGAUGUUUGGGAGCUUUCUUCUCUCAACCAUAUAAAGUUAACCACCUUACUGACUCUCAUGGCAUUAAUUUUCCAUGUCCAACUGAUUUUUAUGUGUGGUUAGAAGAGGAACCUGAGUUUAAUUUUAUUUCCAUCUAGAUACCUAAUCCAAAACUAUUCACUGAAAAAACUUUUUCUCAUUUCUAUACAUUGCCUCCUUUCCAUAUUUUUCUCUAUAUAUGUGAGCCUAUUUCUGGUCCUAAUCCAUUCCUAGGUCUUUAUGUCUAUCUUGGCACCAGUACCUCACUGUUUUCAUUGUAGUGGCUUUCUAAUAAGUUUUCAUAUGUGGUAAGUAUAUCCCACACAAUAUUUCUUUUCCAAAAGGACUACUAUUAGCCCUCUGUAUUUUCAUGAUUGUUGAGCUCCCCAAACACCCUGGAAUUUUCUUAUGCUGGAUCGUUUUGGGGGAAAUUAUAAUGGUGAGUCUUCCAGUUCUGUGGCCUACAUGCUCCAUUUCUUUAAUUGCUGUCAAUAUUUUAUAGAUUUAUGUACAGAAUUCUGCACAUCUUUUGUUAGAUUUAUUCCUUGGCAUUUACUGUUUUGUUUUGUUUUUCUAAUGUCUUACAAAUGGUAUCUUUUUUAAAAUUUCAUUUUCUGCUUGCUUGUACAUAGAAAUAAAAUCAGUUUUUGUGUGUUGAC